UUGAACGGCCAUGACGGAUGCAUAUGCAUUGAAUACCGUAAUAUGCGACGGACUCAGGUAAAAAAUAAAUAAAUAAAUAAAAUGCAUCAAUCUUUAAUCUGCAGUUUAAUCGACUAGAAAAAAGAAAAGUCUUCAAGUUUAUUCCAUAGAGAGCUUUUAGUCUAUACAACACAACAGCCAGAAAAGGAAGCGGGCCAAUCUGUUUAACUCGUCUACACAUCAGCAGGCAAUACAAUAGCCGAGGCGCAAAGAAAAGUAGGGCGUCUCCUAUAUAUAACAAAUAAUAUCACGACGCACUCGCUUUUGAUGAAAUAGUUUUGAAAGGCCAGCAACUAAAGAUGAUUAGAUAUGGAGGUCAUAGAUCCAAGAAGACAAGUUGUUUCCUCUAUAUAAAGAUAGACCCUAUGCACACAUGAAAGGUCUAUUUAACGAGAUGUAGCCGACAGCCAACGUAGAAGUAGGGGUAGCCUAGUUGAAUGAAGAGAGAAAACAAAAGUGAUGAGACCCAAUUCCAAUCUGAUGCAGUUAGAACCCGCCAACUGUGUGUGUAUCAAUAUGUCUGGCAGCCGACGAACCGUAAGCCGCUGACGAAAUAAAACUAUCGAGGAGCACGCAGUCACACACUCUAUACUGUACGACGUGUAUACACAUUUCGUUUCUUUACACAUAUAAAGAGAGAAAGCCAAAGCCGAAUCGGUUGGUUUCCUUGUCAAUAUCGUUUCGGAUGGGAUCCAGCACGGACGACGCUGAUCGAUCCCGCGGGGAGAUGAAAUAGGAUCUACACGUUCCGUAGUCUACUGACAAAAGCCAAUGCAAUCUAGGACUGGAUGGUGGGGAGACCAUAAGGUUAAGCUCAAAAACAAAAAAUAAAUAAACCCUCCUGUUUUUGUCUUUUGUGUUUACACGUGAGAUUUGAGACGCCAGUGAAAAGAUCCACACGUUACAGCACAUUUUAUUUGUCUGUGUGUGUGUCUGGGUUGAUGAAGGAUUUGACACGACUUUUGAUUUGGAAGAAAGAGGGGAGGGGGGGACGAGAUAUUGUUAUGUCAACGUUACAUGCAGCGGUCAGAGGCAAACAGCGGAAUAACUAAGUAUCGAAUUCCAAGGGAUUGAUGCGAGCAAGAAGAAGAAGGGAUCCUGUUGUCAUCGGCUGAACGUUUUCUCUGAUACACUUAAGUGAGCGGGAAAUAUUCAUUAAAUCAUUAUUAUUAGGGAUUGGAUAUGGUGGAUAUAGCAAAUAAACGAGCUUAUAGCUUCGUCGUCGACAGACCAAGACGUCAUAUAUUGAGAAUAGUAUAAGGAAGGUGAAAUGAAAGGUCACGCAAUGUCGACGUAUAUCUGUAUACAUACCUGAUGAUUUGCAUAGCGACAAAAAAAAAACAAAAAAACAAAAAAACAAAAGCCUUGAGCUGAACUUUUGAAUUCAAGACGAUUUGUAACAUUUGAAUUGGGGCUAACGAAGCUGGGUGUUGACCUUUUCAGUUCUCUUCGGGCUUUUCGUGCAUCAAACAUCAGCGUCAACUGCGAAGGAGAUUAUAGAUGCAUAGCAUCUGCGAUUCAGUUUAACCGUAUCCGUUUCUUCCUGUCGACCUUGUGAAAAAUGGAAACCGGCAUUAACGUGAAUAGCUCGAAAUGCGAAAGCCAAUUUUGUUUUGUGGGAUAUAUUGAAACGAGAAAAGUUUUCGUUCGUUCAAAAACGAAAUGUCGACGACUUUUUAAUGUUUGACUCUCUUGAACGUAUGCGUCAUCACGUACAUCCCUCCUCGGCCCACGUCAUUAUGCAUCGAAACUUCAUUGCCCUCGGCCACGUAUAAUGUAAAGGUCCAACUUUGAGACAAUUAACGGUCGUACAUGGGCAGAAAAAAGUAGUAUGUAAAAUGUUAUUGACUAUACUCUCCGAUGGACAGGGGAAAAAAAAAAUGUUGCUAUAAAUAUUCCAGUUGCAUAUACCGAUGUUAAAAGUUUAGUUAUAAUUUUUUAUAUGCAGUAUUUAUAUUUUUUUUCUCUCCAAAAGUUAUCCGAUGUGAUGGGGUAGAAUACCGCGCGUUUCCUUUCGGCAACUUCAACAGACUCUGUCAGCAUUUCGUGCAGAAGCGUCGUGACGCCUGUUACUACAUAACUUUCAAAAUGUCAUCGAGUAAUAACUUUUCGGCUUUAAAGUUUGCCAGUUUACCUUGGUUAACGUGUUUUUUUUAUUUUUCCCUUCUCGAAUAUAUUAUAUGUAUACUAUGCUGUCUGUUAUGACGUAGUUUAUACAAUCUUCCUCGUUAUUAAAACAGAUGAUGGCGUGCACGGCUCUUAAUUACACGAGAUAUGAUCCCGUACAUAUAUCUGCUGUGACAAGUGUAUUUGAAAAUAGAUCUUGUCAUUGAUUUGCAUUGUUCGGAAUAGGUAUAUAGUUGCAUUAUAGAUAUUGCGUCAAUAUAUAUAGAGCCAGUCGUUGAAAAUGUAAAGGACAAUUUUGUGUUUCGUUUGAACGAUGGGAGUUGCCGUAUUACGUGCCGCUAAGGUGACACUAUAUAUGCAUACAAAGGAUAUUGAAUUGAUGGGACGUGAUUCAAUAUAAGUAUACUUGGUUUCGUUUUUUAAAAAGCCCAGUGAAAAUUUGCAUAUGUUUUGAAACUAAUUGGCAGUCGGGGAAGCUUCUUUUCGUUGCUAUUGAAAAUGCAUUACAGUCAUCGUUCGAAGUAGGGCGUCUACUAAUUAGCCCCAAUUUUCGCUAAGCUGUUUUAAAUUCACUUUGGUAUGCGUAUCGUUUGCUGAGCCACACGCUUUCUUUUAUAUAGUUCCACUCUUCGAAUUCCUCCCCGUCGGAGAAUUUCCCCCUAACGACAAGUACCAAUUUAUAUUUGAAAAAAACAAAACAAAAAUUAAUGCUGCGAAACAUAAAAAAAAUCUUAUUUAAAAAAUAAAUAAAUAAAUGUGAAAAUAAACACACAUUUCUAAGAAAUGUCUUGAGAAAACUUGAUUUAUAAACCAUAUAUAUAUUAAGACAUGAUAUCCGCACAGUUUUGAUGAGCUCAACCGUUCGAGGGUUUUCAGUUUCAUUUCAAGUGGCUGCUGUUGAUAGCGGAGCUUAGUCGGUUGCCAUCGACUUGUAUUUUGCCUUUCAACAAGCCAUAAUGUCGUGGAGAUGUGAUGAAUCGGAGAAAAAACAAAACAAAAGAGAGGCGGUGUCGUCUCAAGCUUUGCUCUAUUUAGUUUAAUAUCAACCACCGACGUUCGAUCGUGGGCACCAACCUUGGCAAACAGUACGUCACGAGCGCAGCUGUACAGGCCGUUUGUCUUGAACAGAUCGCAUUUUGUUUUGUUUUAUCCCCUCCUUUAUUUUAUUCUUUUUUUUUAUGUACGAACAGUAGAAGUGGCACGACGUUCGGCAUUUUUUUUAUUAAUCCCCAUCUAUACCUACGUAUAUCUGUGUGUUAUAACUUAUAAAGGAUAUAUGUUUAAAGCUUUUGUUUAGAACCACUUCUUAUCCAGUAGCCUCGGCUAUCAAACUGUCGACCUUCAGUCGCUUUAUACGAGUCCGCGAAAAAAAAGGAAACUAAAGGCAAGGGCCAUUAGCGUUUACGGUGGGGGGAAAAAGACGCAACGACCGCAUUAAUCCAUCAACAACCGGGGGGAGGAUUUUUCCUUCGUUUGUUGGCAUCGGUUGCAUCGUUGGCAUCGUUGACAUCGUUUGCCAAUCGUUCGUUCACGCCAACCCCUAGCCCGGGCUAUACCACCCAUUUCUGCAUGUCUUAACAGUAUAUACACCCUAUAGAAACAGCACAUGUGUAUAGACUCGGCUGUCAAAGAUCUUUAAAAAAAAAUAUGUGAAAAAAAAAAUGGACAGAGUCAUUAGUCGACGUCAACGGCCUCGCAACAGUCCCGAAUUGGCCCGCAGAAUGUUUCGCGUCUAGCUGCGGGAUUACCUACAUGCCAAAUGUCUAGCCCUUGGACGGCAAAGCUAAUAUGUAUUUCUUGUAUAUAUAUAGGUAUAGAGUAUAGAUCUAAAUUCGGGAGUGUCGUCAGAUUGGGGUGGGGCGUGGGCGACCGAGAGGCGAAGAAAAGGGACGUGCUGGUGAGUGUAUUUUGGUAGUUUGUCCAGACUGAGACACACACACACACACAGUGUCACAAACAAGAGGGAGAGACUCAGUUUUGCUGUCUCUCUUUUUCGUCGAAAUAUUUGUCGUCAGCUCGGAGAAUGCGCAUCGUCUAGGCCAACGACUCGCUGAAUGACCGGGCCAAAAAGGAUUCGACAUCGUUAAACAACUUGUUGGCAGACUGUAAAACAACGGAGACAACGGCCGUCGAAAAUGAUGAAGAUAACAACGUCGAUACACAUCAGCGGGCAGAAUAAAAACGAAUACUGGGCACGAAGACAAAAUAGAUGCAGCAUCAUACGUAAGGGGCGCAUUGACUUAUGGAACGGACACGAUUAUCAAAUGAAAAAUGAAGAAUCCGGGAGGUCGGCUUUAGUUUGUGUGUGUGUGUGGGGCCGGCAGGGAGCAGCGUGAGCUCAAGUUGUAACUUGUCUAAUCGUUUUAUCUAUUCUGAUGAAAUCGAUUUCGACUCGCCGAGCGUUUCAAUAAAAUUUUUUUUUUUCACA